GUCUCUGAACUGAUCAUGGAAGGAAUACUGAUUUACUUUUUGGAAUUGUGAAAUUUUAGCUGGUUUUUCAGUUUUGCUGUGCAACCAUCCAUGCUAGAAGAUCCUUCACGAUAAAGUGAAGAUCACAAUUCUCUAUGUUUUAUUUGGUGCACUACAUAAUUAAAGAAAGAAUUGUGGAUUGACUAGGAUUUCGAUUGUUUAAUUCUUCCUGUGCCAUUUUCAUGCAAGGUGCUUUUCUUUGUCCAAUCUAUUCAUGUAUAGUUUAUAAUAUUUAUGCAUUUUUCUCAUUGCAGCAAGAUAACAGUCAGUCUUAGAUAUGCAGAUCUUCUCUCUGUUCUUCCAACUCGAGUCAAAGUCCUUGCAUGGCCAGUGAAUCAAUUGAAGAGACACUGUACUAGUGCAGCAAUUGCCAACAGAAGGGACAAUGGAGGAAUGGGUUAUGCCCCCAUUCCAUCUCGCCUAACCUAUGCAGAGGAAGCCUUGCGAACCAGGAGCUUGCCAGAAGCAUAUGCAGAGAUUGUGUUGAGUUUGCCACAUGCGCUUCAGCAAAUAUCUCAGCUUAGAGGCUCCAACUAGUGUUUGACUUCAUAGAAGGAAGUUCCAUUGUGUACAGAGGCCCAGAUAUUAUGCAUUCUGCACAGAUAUAUAUACUGUUGUUACUUGUGUAGGAAUGUGAAUCACUAGCGAACUAAACUGGACUUGUGAGACUUGUAGUUUAGGUGAAUUUUCAGAUCUAACUGAAAUUGCAUGGCUCCAACUGUCCGACCUGGGUUUUAUAUACUAGAAACUAAUAAUAGAAGUGGAUCUUAUGAUUCAUUGUUUUUGGUUUCUAACUUCUGGCAAUUUCCUGGAGGUAAUGAUUAAAAUCUGAGGGGAAUCUGCCUGGUGCAAUGCUGUUUUUUCUUUUUUUUUUCUUUUCUUCGUUCUUUAAUUACAGGUGGAGAAAUCUCCUGUUUUGUAUAAUUUUGAUUCGAUGCUGCCAAUAUUGAUGGUCCAGUAAUCUAUUAACCAUUGCGGUUGAUUGUGAGAACAGCUCUAAAA